rnacentral:rRNA from 1 species
GAAUAGAAAAGAUUAUUUAUUUUAUUAUUAUUUAUUUUUUAUUAAAAAAAGAAAUUUUUAUUUUAGUAUUAGAUAAGAAAAAAUUAUUUUAAUUAUAGUUUAUUAGUAUUGUGAAAGAAAUUUUUUUAUAAAAAAAAGAAAAAUUUAAAUUUUGUACCUUGUGUAUCAGGGUUAAUUAACUAAUAAUUAAAUAUUUAAUAUUCUCGAAUUUAAAAGAGUUAAUUAUUUAUUAAUUUUAUUGUAAAAUAAAUAUUUAUAAUAAAUAAUUAGAAAUGAAACGUUAUUCGUUUUUAAAUAUAUCUAGUUUUUAAAGAAAUAAAUUUAAUUUAUUUAUUAAUAUGUAAAUUUUUAAUUUUUUAAUUUUUUAUUUAUUAAUAAUAAAUUUUUUUAGGGAUAAGCUUAAAAAAAAAUUUUUAUAAUUAAUAAUUUGUAGAAUGAUUUGUAGGAUUAUAAUUUUCUAAUAAUAAAAAAAUGUUAUAAUUAAUUAUUCUUUGUAUAUAAUUUUUAUUUAAUUUAGAUUUUUUAUUUGAAUUUUAUUAUUAAUAUUUUAUAAUAAGAAAUUAUGGUUAAAUUAGUAAAGUUUAUUGUAUGAUUAAUUUGAUUUUUAAGGUUGAAUUAAGGAAUUCGGCAAAAUUAUUUUUCACCUGUUUAAUAAAAACAUGUCCUUAUGAUUAUAAUUUAAGGUCUAAUCUGCCCACUGAAGUUUUAAAUGGCCGCGGUAUUUUGACCGUGCGAAGGUAGCAUAAUAAUUAGUUUCUUAAUUAGAAGCUGGAAUGAAUGAUUGGAUGAGAAAAUAACUGUCUCAGUUUAAUUUUAAUUUGAAUUUUAUUUUUAAGUUAAAAAGCUUAAAUAAUAUUAAAAGACGAGAAGACCCUAUAGAGUUUAAUAAUUUUAUUAUUUUAAAUAUUUUAGUUUGAAAAUUUUAAUUUAAUAAAAUUAUUUUGAUUGGCUGAUAAAAAAAUUAAAAUAACUUUUUUUAUAUUUUUA